rnacentral:rRNA from 1 species
GAUGAACGCUAGCGGCAGGCUUAACACAUGCAAGUCGAGGGGUAGAAGGAGCUUGCUCCUUUGAGACCGGCGCACGGGUGCGUAACGCGUAUGCAAUCUACCUUUUGCAGAGGGAUAGCCCAGAGAAAUUUGGAUUAAUACCUCAUAGUAUGUGAGGAUGGCAUCAUUUUCACAUUAAAGUCACAACGGCAAAAGAUGAGCAUGCGUCCCAUUAGCUAGUUGGUAAGGUAACGGCUUACCAAGGCUACGAUGGGUAGGGGUCCUGAGAGGGAGAUCCCCCCACACUGGUACUGAGACACGGACCAGACUCCUACGGGAGGCAGCAGUGAGGAAUAUUGGGACAAUGGGCGCAAGCCUGAUCCAGCCAUGCCGCGUGCAGGAUGACGGUCCUAUGGAUUGUAAACUGCUUUUAUACAGGAAGAAACACUCCGACGUGUCGGAGCUUGACGGUACUGUAAGAAUAA